GAUGAACGCUGGCGGCGUGCCUAAUACAUGCAAGUCGAGCGAACGGACGAGAAGCUUGCUUCUCUGAUGUUAGCGGCGGACGGGUGAGUAACACGUGUAUAACCUACCUAUAAGACUGGGAUAACUUCGGGAAACCGGAGCUAAUACCGGAUAAUAUUUUGAACCGCAUGGUUCAAAAGUGAAAGACGGUCUUGCUGUCACUUAUAGAUGGAUCCGCGCUGCAUUAGCUAGUUGUUAAGGUAACGGCUUACCAAGGCGACGAUGCAUAGCCGACCUGAGAGGCUGAUCGGCCACACUGGAACUGAGACACGGUCCAGACUCCUACGGGAGGCAGCAGUAGGGAAUCUUCCGCAAUGGGCGAAAGCCUGACGGAGCAACGCCGCGUGAGUGAUGAAGGUCUUCGGAUCGUAAAACUCUGUUAUUAGGGAAGAACAUAUGUGUAGGUAACUGUGCACAUCUUGACGGUAACUAAUCAGAAAGCAACGGCUAACUACGUG
rnacentral:rRNA from 1 species